UCAAACUUGGUCAUUUAGAGGAAGUAAAAGUCGUAACAAGGUCUCCGUUGGUGAACCAGCGGAGGGAUCAUUACAGAGUUGCAAAACUCCUAACCAUUGUGAACAGACCCGCGACGCUACAGCGGGUGGUUUAUCAUAACCACCCGCUGCAGCCUGCAAACUCUUGUUAUAGUGUAUCUCUGAGUAGCUUAUUUAAUAAGUCAAAACUUUCAACAACGGAUCUCUUGGUUCUGGCAUCGAUGAAGAACGCAGC
rnacentral:misc_RNA from 1 species